rnacentral:tRNA from 1 species
AGAGAAGUAUUUAAAAUUUAUAAAAUCUAAUUUGCAUUUAGAUAUUGGCAAUAACCCUUUUCUG